AGGGGACCUUCGGGCCUUUCGCUAACAGAUGAGCCUGCGUUGGAUUAGCUAGUUGGUGGGGUAAGGGCCCACCAAGGCGACGAUCCAUAGCUGGUCUGAGAGGACGAUCAGCCACACUGGGACUGAGACACGGCCCAGACUCCUACGGGAGGUAGCAGUGGGGAAUAUUGGACAAUGGGCGCAAGCCUGAUCCAGCAAUACCGCGUGUGUGAAGAAGGCCCUAGGGUUGUAAAGCACUUUCAAUUGGGAGGAAAACCCACCGGCCAAUACCCGGUGGCUUGACAUUACCUUUAGAAGAAGCACCGGCUAACUCCGUGCCAGCAGCCGCGGUAAUACGGAGGGUGCGAGCGUUAAUCGGAAUUACUGGGCGUAAAGCGUGCGUAGGCGGCCCGUUAAGUCAGAUGUGAAAGCCCCGGGCUCAACCUGGGAACUGUAUUUGAAACUGGCGGGCUAGAGUUUGGUAGAGGGGAGCGGAAUUUCAGGUGUAGCGGUGAAAUGCGUAGAUAUCUGAAGGAACACCAGUGGCGAA
rnacentral:rRNA from 1 species